rnacentral:rRNA from 1 species
UACGGGGGGGGCAAGCGUUGUUCGGAAUUACUGGGCGUAAAGGGCUCGUAGGUGGCCAACUAAGUCAGACGUGAAAUCCCUCAGCUUAACUGGGGAACUGCGUCUGAUACUGGAUGGCUUGAGAUUGGGAGAGGGAUGCGGAAUUCCAGGUGUAGCGGUGAAAUGCGCAGAUAUCAGGAGGAACACCGGUGGCGAAGGCGGGUCUCUGGGCCGAUACUGACGCUGAGGAGCGAAAGCGUGGGGAGCGAACAGG